rnacentral:misc_RNA from 1 species
AAAGAUCGCAGCCUUCGGCAGCUCCUGCAGGGUGUACACAAUCCCCUGUAGGAGCUGCCGAAGGCUGCGAUCUUU